GGCGGCGGCGGAUGGAAGUUGAUGUGGUUGCAACGUCUUCAAGUUCUGGUGAGUCAUCUGGAUUUUGUUGAAUUCAACCGGAAAAUAGAGUUACAUUUUAAUAGAUUUUCCAUUCCUGCAUUAUUUCACAAAUUGAGGGAGGUCAUUGAUGGUAUCUGUGCAAUUUAAAUUUAGCUUAAAUAUAUUCAUAUGUUUUUUAGCUUCAUUGAGUCCAUGAUUUUAGGGACAGUUUCAGUUUCAGUUUCAGUUUCUUAUUGCAGGUUAUUGUUUAGAAAGAAACUAAUUUCAUGCGUCUUUUUGCGCUUAUUCUUCUACAAAUCAAUAAAUAGGUGUCAUAAGUAUUGAAUUGAGUUGAUUCCUGAACUUCACAUUGCACAUAAUUCUCCUAUCUUUUGUAUGUUCAUGUUGUGAUUAUGGCCUGUGUCCAUAACUGAUGCUGGGAAUUCCAAAUUACUUUCUUUUGAUAUGCAUAAUUUUUGUGUUAUGAUUCAAUUUGGGAGAUUAAACAGAUGGAUAAUUAGCUGGCUGGAAUGUAGAAACUUAUGUUGAAUUCUUGGAAGCUAACAUUUUCCAUGAAAUAACUUAUAGUCACGAAUGUGUCCACACAAUAAAUCAGAAAAAACAUGACUAGAUCAAAGUUUAUCAGAUAAUCACUUUUCUCUAGUUAAUCUGUGUUUUUCCUAUUUGUUUUUCUUAUGACUGAAUAAAAUGUUUUCACAGUUUCAAGAUUAAAGC
rnacentral:lncRNA from 1 species